rnacentral:lncRNA from 1 species
AGCAGUUCUCUUGCCUCAGCCUCCCAAGUAACUGGUACUACAGUUUGUCCUCGGCUGUUACAGAGAAUUGAUACAAAAAAUGAUCAUGUGAAGAAUUUGCAUCUUCUGCAGAACUACCGGUAUCAGUCAGCAGUAGGAGAUUGUAUAAAUUCAGCCUGAGAUUCCAGAAUAUUCUGUGUAUUGACCACCACAGCAAGAAGAAAAAGUCCAUGUAGGACUGAAAUCUUUAGCUCCCUGGGUGAGCUACCAUCCCGAUACCAGAGCCGGCGCUGCAGGUGUGCUUAGCCAGCCCAGCCAGGGCCGAAGAUACUGACAAGACCGGAGGAGGCCCCUCUCGAGACUGAGUGACUCACACCACCUGCAGAGAGCACAGUUGCCACGAGCCUUGCUCAUCCUCCUCGAGCAGCUAAAUUUAUAUUCUGAGAGCAGAACACUGGCGCUGGAGCUGUCAGGAGGGAACAGGGAGGAGAUGGGAAGGAAGAGUGCCAUCAUCUUGGAGCGGGCUCGGGGGUGGAAGUGGAUUCACAUUCUAAGGGCUUUGUAAGUGAGCCCACAAGAUUUUUCAUGGAGAAACUGGUGUCUGAGAAAUUACAGUUUUCUCUUAAAUGUUCCCCUCUCCUCCACUUAAACCCCAGUAACAGCUGUCAAGGUCAAGGGAAAAUCUUCCCUUUCAUUCUCUGAAGUUUUGCUGAAAAAUCAACUCACAAAAGGCAGAUAAUAAGAGAAAAGGCAUAAUACACAUUUAUUAGCAUGCACAAAGCUGAAUCAGAGUGACUGCCCCAUAUCCUGGUGGGGCCCAGAUACUUACAUAGCCUUAUUUCAGAUGGAAGCGGGGAGAUGGGGAAUAUAGGUACUUCUGUUGAGAGGCAAGAAAUGAUUACUAGGGAGAAUGAAUGGAUCGGGAACAUAGAUUAACUUGUAAAUGGUUAUCUCUGGAAAUUGAAUGAGCCUGAGAGACAGACGUUAUCCUGUGAAAGGGUCUCUUCAGGUGUGGUUACAUUGGAUAGAUAAUAAGAUAACAGGAAGAAGAAGGAAAAACAAUUACUUUCCUUGGUGGGUUCACCUGGUCUUUAUGCAGAUAGGAUAAAAGUCUCUUCUAGCAUCUGUUGAUCUCUAAGGGCCUUCAAAAUACUCAUUAUAGGCCAGACAUGGUGGCUUAUACCUGUAAUCCCAGC